GGCCGAUGAUGGAUAACAAUAUUUGCUACUCUUGAUGGGGAAAUCCCAUCUGAUGAUAUUUUACCACCAAGAUCUCUGAGGCC